rnacentral:rRNA from 1 species
UAGGGAAUCUUCGGCAAUGGACGAAAGUCUGAACGAGCAACGCCGCGCGUGUGAAGAAGGUUUUCGGAUCGUAAAACUCUGUUGUUAGAGAAGAACAAGGACGUUAGUAACUGAACGUCCCCUGACGGUAUCUAACCAGAAAGCCACGGCUAACUACGUGCCAGCAGCCGCGGUAAUACGUACGUGGCAAGCGUUGUCCGGAUUUAUUGGGCGUAAAGCGAGCGCAGGCGGUUUCUUAAGUCUGAUGUGAAAGCCCCCGGCUCAACCGGGGAGGGUCAUUGGAAACUGGGAGACUUGAGUACAGAAGAGGAGAGUGGAAUUCCAUGUUGAGCGGUGAAAUGCGUAGAUUUAUGGGGGAACACCAGUGGCGAAGGCGGCUCUCUGGUCUGUAACUAACGCUGAGGCUCGAAAGCGUGGGGAGCAAACAGG